ACUAUCCUUUUAUUUUUUCAAUACCUUUCUAUCAAUAAAAUUUCUUAUGCUAAAUGAAAUGCCAGGUGAAAAAGAAAAAUCGUGGUCGAGACGGCUAAGCCAAUUGAAUUUGAAUUUUCAUUUUAUACAUUGGAUGAAUCUGGUUUGUUAUUAACAGAGUAUAUUGAUUUGUAAUGGACCGCAACUUCGCCUUGCGGAAUGAUUGUGUUGUUUGACAUAAGCAAUCAAUGAAAAGGCUUUGAUUCUUUUAGAUACUUGAAGCCUGAAUUGAAUAGUUGAUUCUCUGAUAACAUUGAAAUGUUGUUUCUUUCCCUCUUCACUUGAACCAGCCAAAGAUAGACGAGGACCACCCGACAUGGUUACAUCUUCGGAUAAGAGAUUUUGAUCCAGAUUUUUUUAAAGCUAGAGGCAACCAAUCUAAGGUUUCCAAUCCCCCUCCCGAUGGGAGAUGGACACUCGGUUUCCAUAGUGCUAAGGCUUGUGAGACAGCUCAGUUAUUGAUUCUUGAAGAGACUAGUAAGCAGAGGUCCUCUGUUGAGAGCACGCUUGCUCCACUGCUUCAGGAAGAUUAUCUAGGAAAAAAUAUGGAUAGCCGAGGCGACUAAAGCUCCAGCCUGAGUUCUAGGAGUGCAGCUAUUGUACCACUCUCCUCGUCUGCAGUUUUCCAUGUGCACGGCCAACAAAGGUAGAGAAGACGCUUUUUGACCGGAGAAGGCUGAGAAAAA